rnacentral:lncRNA from 1 species
UUUAAAUCUCACUUGACUGGAUAACUAUUCUGCACUGAUAUCAUCACAGCAACUGAAGAGAACUCAGUACAUUUGUCCUAGAAGUUCCAGUGUUUUGAGGUCAAGCCUGUGGAGCCAUGCUGCAAUGGAAAGGAACAUGGACACCCUCGACUGCCCUGACCAACUCAAGCUUAGAACUGAAGGAAAAUAGCAGACCAGAUUGCUCAUCACCCACUGUGUACAGAAAGCUCUAUCUGAUGAGAAUCAGCUGCAUGAAGCCCAGUGCCUCUCAAAGGGCAACGUUUUUCCUCAACUCCUCUCCUCCUUCUCAUCAGAGAAAGCAUGAAAGGAAGAGAAUAAUACUUAAGAUGAAACACUGGAAAAGUUCGGUCUGCUCAUGGGCCACUGCUGAGCAAAAAGGCAGUUAAACAAAGGCCUAAUCCCACCCACGGAGAAGGACGCAUAGCAAAUCUCACUGCCCAGAGUAGCACUAAAAGAUCAUUUCCUUCUCAUCUUCCCCACCAGAUAUUUGAAAAAGCAGAACUUUCAUUUCUCAAAACACUGUGGCCACAUUGUAAGUUGGUGGUGUGCUAUUCCUCUAUACCAAACUACAGAAACUUUCUUGAUCUCAUAUCCUACCCCACCCCUCCUAAGUCUGUGGAGUUACUGAAUACAGUGUUUUGCAGCAGGAGCUUGGUGGAAGUAUGUAAUACUGUGUUCAGAAUGUAUGGCUUUUUUUUUUUUUGCUUUUUUUUUUUUUUUUGUGCCUGUAAGAUGUCAGGUUCAUUUAUUUCAAUAAUUAAUGUGUCUUGCAGCUCUCCUAGUGCCCAUAUGCCUGAGUUCUUUCCCAUCACCUGAAGGGUUUGUUUUUGACUGGGUAUAUAUGCAUGUCUUGAUUAAACUGAAUUUUCUUAUUUGAUUUGAUUGCC